GCUUACGGCCAAACACCCUGAACACGCCCGAUCUCGUCCGAUCUCGGAAGCUAAGCAGGGCGGGGCUGGUUAGUACUUGGAUGGGAGACCGCCUGGGAAUACCAGGUGCUGUAAGUU
rnacentral:rRNA from 1 species